rnacentral:rRNA from 1 species
AGAGUUUGAUCCUGGCUCAGGAUGAAUGCUGGCGGCGUGCCUAACACAUGCAAGUCGAGCGGUAACGGGUCUAGUUUACUAGAUGCCGACGAGCGGCGGACGGCUGAGUAACGCGUAGGAAUGUGCCCCAAAGUGAGGAAUAACUGCCCGAAAGGGUAGCUAAUACCGCAUAUGGUCUUCGGAUUAAAGGAUUUAUCCGCUUUGGGAACAGCCUGCGUCAGAUUAGAUAGUUGGUGAGGUAAUGGCUCACCAAGUCGACGAUCUGUAACUGGUUUGAGAGGAUGAUCAGUCAGACUGGAACUGAGACACGGUCCAGACUCCUACGGGAGGCAGCAGUGGGGAAUCUUCCACAAUGGGGGAAACCCUGAUGCAGCAACGCCGCGUGAGUGAUGACGGCCUUAGGGUUGUAAAGCUCUGUCUUCAGGGACGAUAAUGACGGUACCUGAGGAGGAAGCCACGGCUAACUACGUGCCAGCAGCCGCGGUAAUACGUAGGUGGCGAGCGUUGUCCGGAUUUACUGGGCGUAGAGGGAGCGUAGGCGGAUUUUUAAGUGAGAUGUGAAAUACUCGGGCUUAACCUGAGUGCUGCAUUUCAAACUGGAAGUCUAGAGUGCAGGAGAGGAGAAGGGAAUUCCUAGUGUAGCGGUGAAAUGCGUAGAGAUUAGGAAGACACCAGUGGCGAAGGCGCUUCUCUGGACUGUAACUGACGCUGAGGCUCGAAGGCGUGGGGAGCCAACAGGAUUAAAUACCCUGGUAGUCCAUGCCCGAAA